rnacentral:rRNA from 1 species
AAGUGGCGAACGGGUGAGUAACACGUGGGUGAUCUGCCCUGCACUCUGGGAUAAGCCUGGGAAACUGGGUCUAAUACCGGAUAUGACCAACUGUCGCAUGGUGGUUGGUGGAAAGCUUUUGCGGUGUGGGAUGGGCCCGCGGCCUAUCAGCUUGUUGGUGGGGUAAUGGCCUACCAAGGCGACGACGGGUAGCCGACCUGAGAGGGUGAUCGGCCACACUGGGACUGAGACACGGCCCAGACUCCUACGGGAGGCAGCAGUGGGGAAUAUUGCACAAUGGGCGGAAGCCUGAUGCAGCGACGCCGCGUGAGGGAUGACGGCCUUCGGGUUGUAAACCUCUUUCACCAGGGACGAAGCGUGAGUGACGGUACCUGGAGAAGAAGCACCGGCCAACUACGUGCCAGCAGCCGCGGUAAUACGUAGGGUGCGAGCGUUGUCCGGAAUUACUGGGCGUAAAGAGCUCGUAGGCGGUUUGUCGCGUCGUCUGUGAAAUUCUGCAACUCAAUUGCAGGCGUGCAGGCGAUACGGGCAGACUGGAGUAAUACAGGGGAGACUGGAAUUCCUGGUGUAGCGGUGAAAUGCGCAGAUAUCAGGAGGAACACCGGUGGCGAAGGCGGGUCUCUGGGUAGUAACUGACGCUGAGGAGCGAAAGCGUGGGUAGCGAACAGGAUUAGAUACCCUGGUAGUCCACGCCGUAAACGGUGGGUACUAGGUGUGGGUUCCUUUU